rnacentral:rRNA from 1 species
UUAUUUUCAGGAAGCUUUCGGGUGGAAUGAACUUAACUUAGCGGCGGACGGGUGAGUAACGCGUGGACAACCUACCCUGUACAGGGGGAUAACAAUGGGAAACCAUUGCUAAUACCCCAUAACACCUUUUAGGGGCAUCCCUUUAAGGUCAAAGAAUUUCGGUACAGGAUGGGUCCGCGUCUGAUUAGCUAGUUGGUGAGGUAAUGGCUCACCAAGGCGACGAUCAGUAGCCGGCCUGAGAGGGUGAACGGCCACACUGGAACUGAGACACGGUCCAGACUCCUACGGGAGGCAGCAGUGGGGAAUAUUGCACAAUGGGCGAAAGCCUGAUGCAGCAACGCCGCGUGAGCGAUGAAGGCUUUCGGGUCGUAAAGCUCUGUCCUAAGGGAAGAUAAUGACGGUACCUUAGGAGGAAGCCCCGGCUAACUACGUGCCAGCAGCCGCGGUAAUACGUAGGGGGCAAGCGUUAUCCGGAAUCAUUGGGCGUAAAGGGUGCGUAGGCGGCCCUAUAGGUCAGAGGUCAAAGGCUACGGCUCAACCGUAGUAAGCCUUUGAAACUGUAGGGCUUGAGUGCAGGAGAGGAGAGUGGAAUUCCUAGUGUAGCGGUGAAAUGCGUAGAUAUUAGGAGGAACACCAGUGGCGAAGGCGACUCUCUGGACUGCAACUGGCGCUGAGGCACGAAAGCGUGGGGAGCGAACAGGAUUAGAUACCCUGGUAGUCCACGCCGUAAACGAUGAGUGCUAGGUGUCGGGGGUCGAACCUCGGUGCCGCAGCUAACGCAUUAAGCACUCCGCCUGGGGAGUACGUUCGCAAGAAUGAAACUCAAAGGAAUUGACGGGGACCCGCACAAGCAGCGGAGCAUGUGGUUUAAUUCGAAGCAACGCGAAGAACCUUACCUGGACUUGACAUCCCUCGGACCGCUUUUUAACCAAAGCCUUCCCUUCGGGGACUGAGGUGACAGGUGGUGCAU